CGUAGGUGCAAGCGUUGUCCGGAAUUAUUGGGCGUAAAGAGCUCGUAGGCGGUUUGUCGCGUCUGCUGUGAAAUCUGGGGGCUCAACCCCCAGCCUGCAGUGGGUACGGGCAGACUAGAGUGCGGUAGGGGAGAUUGGAAUUCCUGGUGUAGCGGUGGAAUGCGCAGAUAUCAGGAGGAACACCGAUGGCGAAGGCAGAUCUCUGGGCCGUAACUGACGCUGAGGAGCGAAAGCGUGGGAGCGAACAGGAUU
rnacentral:rRNA from 1 species